CCUACGGGAGGCAGCAGUGGGGAAUUUUGGACAAUGGGGGCAACCCUGAUCCAGCCAUACCGCGUGCGGGAAGAAGGCCUUCGGGCUGUAAACCGCUUUUGGCCGGGAAGAAAAGGCUGAGGCUAAUACCCUCGGUUUUUGACGGUACCGGCAGAAUAAGCACCGGCUAACUACGUGCCAGCAGCCGCGGUAAU
rnacentral:rRNA from 1 species